rnacentral:lncRNA from 1 species
AUAUUCGAUUCCAAAACAUAUUCUUUGUAAGUUUUAAUAUAUUUAUGUAUUAUUUAUACUUAGAUUGUAACCCAUAAUGUAGAUAUUAUUUUUCCUUCAACUCUUAAGAAUAUUCUUAAAUAAUAAAAUUAAAAUGAAUUAUAAUUUUUGUUGGUUGGGAAAAAGAAUAGACACACACGUGACAGUGCAUCACUUCACCUCAUCAUUUCAUCUCAUCAUUUCAUCUCAUUUUAUCUCAUCUCAUCAUAUCAUCUCAUCAUUUCAUCUCAUCUCAUCAUUUCAUCAAAUCUCAUCUCAUUUCCAUUUCAUUUUCAUUAUUUCAUUUCAUCAUUUCAUUUCACUAUUUCAUUUCAUUUCAUCUAAUUUCAUUUAUUUCAUUGUGUCACUUCAUAUCAUCUCAUUUCAUUUCAUCUCAUUUUUCAUAUCAUUUUUCAUCUCAUUUCAUUUCAUCUCAUUUCAUCUCAUUUCAUCUCAUCUCAUCCCAUUUCAUCUCAUCAUUUCAUCUCAUUUCAUCUCAUCAUUUCAUCUCAUCUC